AUUGAACGCUGGCGGCAGGCUUAGCACAUGCAAGUCGAGCGGGGUGAUGGUGCUUGCACUAUCACUUAGCGGCGGACGGGUGAGUAAUGCUUAGGAAUCUGCCUAUUAGUGGGGGACAACAUCUCGAAAGGGAUGCUAAUACCGCAUACGUCCUACGGGAGAAAGCAGGGGAUCACUUGUGACCUUGCGCUAAUAGAUGAGCCUAAGUCGGAUUAGCUAGUUGGUGGGGUAAAGGCCUACCAAGGCGACGAUCUGUAGCGGGUCUGAGAGGAUGAUCCGCCACACUGGGACUGAGACACGGCCCAGACUCCUACGGGAGGUAGCAGUGGGGAAUAUUGGACAAUGGGGGGAACCCUGAUCCAGCCAUGCCGCGUGUGUGAAGAAGGCCUUAUGGUUGUAAAGCACUUUAAGCGAGGAGGAGGCUCUUUUGGUUAAUACCCAAGAUGAGUGGACGUUACUCGCAGAAUAAGCACCGGCUAACUCUGUGCCAGCCGCCGCUGUAA
rnacentral:rRNA from 1 species